AGAGACGGCAUUUGCGGCUGCGGCACGGUUCAUGGCGGUUGUGAAAAUCAAAAGUCGCAAAGAUGAUAAACUCUGGACUGUAUUCCCUAGAAAUCGGGAACGGGCAGUCUUGUAGUUGUAAGAUGGUCAAUAGUUGACAGGUAUCUGGUGGUGUUAUGGUCCAACUCGACCCUCCUUGACAAGAUGCUUAAGGUCCUGUUCAAUAGCUGGCGAAUUGAACUCUGAUUCGUGACAUCUUUGCAAAAAUGCAAGGCACAUAGUCGGUCCUCGGACUGAACUGUGAAUUCUGCCUAUACAGUGGUUGCCAAGUACAGGAGUAUUGGCUCAACAUUUCCUUCACGCGACGGAGAGAUUAGGCAGUUGGCUUGUUCGGUUCUGCCUCAUGUCUCUGCACCCAGUUGAUCCUUCAAUGAAGCUGUCUCGUUGCCAGUUUAAAGACUGGAGCAGGACUCGUUAGCUGUGAUGAAAGAGCCCAGAACAUGCUAUGUCCAAGGAACAGAGAUGGGUUCACAUCAUGAAGGAAUUAUUUCAAGUCGAAUUCAGUCUGCAAGGCAGUUUUGUAAGAUUCGAAUACGUUUAAACGAUAUAAAGGAAUUUUGUGCAGUUGUAAAGUUCUGUUAAUAUGCUUUCAAUAAAAUAUGGGUUUUGUA